rnacentral:rRNA from 1 species
CUUUGUGACAUACCUAUAACUGUUGCUUCGGCGGGUAGGGUCUCCGCGACCCUCCCGGCCUCCCGCCUCCGGGCGGGUCGGCGCCCGCCGGAGGAUAACCAAACUCUGAUUUAACGACGUUUCUUCUGAGUGGUACAAGCAAAUAAUCAAAACUUUUAACAACGGAUCUCUUGGUUCUGGCAUCGAUGAAGAACGCAGCGAAAUGCGAUAAGUAAUGUGAAUUGCAGAAUUCAGUGAAUCAUCGAAUCUUUGAACGCACAUUGCGCCCGCCAGCAUUCUGGCGGGCAUGCCUGUUCGAGCGUCAUUUCAACCCUCAAGCUCUGCUUGGUGUUGGGGCCCUACAGCUGAUGUAGGCCCUCAAAGGUAGUGGCGGACCCUCUCGGAGCCUCCUUUGCGUAGUAACUUUACGUCUCGCACUGGGAUCCGGAGGGACUCUUGCCGUAAAACCCCCAAUUUUCCAAAGGUUGACCUCGGAUCAGGUAGGAAUACCCGCUGAACUUAAGCA